AUAGUCGUGGCCGAGUGGUUAAGGCGAUGGAGUAGUAAAUCCAUUGGAGCUUCCCCGUGCAGGUUCGAAUCCUGCUGACUAUG